GACGAACGCUGGCGGCGUGCUUAACACAUGCAAGUCGAACGCUGAAGCUUGGUGCUUGCACUGGGUGGAUGAGUGGCGAACGGGUGAGUAAUACGUGAGUAACCUGCCCUUGACUCUGGGAUAAGCCUGGGAAACUGGGUCCAAUACUGGAUGCGACAUGUCACCGCAUGGUGGUGUGUGGAAAGGGUUUUACUGGUUUUGGAUGGGCUCACGGCCUAUCAGCUUGUUGGUGGGGUAAUGGCUCACCAAGGCGACGACGGGUAGCCGGCCUGAGAGGGUGACCGGCCACACUGGGACUGAGACACGGCCCAGACUCCGACGGGAGGCAGCAGUGGGGAAUAUUGCACGAUGGGCGGAAGCCUGAUGCAGCGACGCCGCGUGAGGGAUGACGGCCUUCGGGUUGUAAACCUCUUUCAGCACGGAAGAAGCGAAAGUGACGGUACGUGCAGAAGAAGCACCGGCUAACUACGUGC
rnacentral:rRNA from 1 species